rnacentral:rRNA from 1 species
GAUGAACGCUGGCGGCGUGCCUAAUACAUGCAAGUCGAGCGAACAGACGAGGAUCUUGCUCCUCUGACGUUAGCGGCGGACGGGUGAUGAACACGUGGAUAACCUACCUAUAAGACUGGGAUAACUUCGGGAAACCGGAGCUAAUACCGGAUAAUAUAUUGAACCGCAUGGUUCAAUAGUGAAAGACGGAUUUGCUGUCACUAAUAGAUGGAUCCUCGCCGCAUUAGCUAGUUGGUAAGGUAACGGCUUACCAAGGCAACGAUGCGUAGCCGACCUGAGAGGGUGAUCGGCCACACUGGAACUGAGACACGGUCCAGACUCCUACGGGAGGCAGCAGUAGGGAAUCUUCCGCAAUGGGCGAAAGCUUGACGGAGCAACGCCGCGUGAGUGAUGAAGGUCUUCGGAUCGUAAAACUCUGUUAUUAGGGAAGAACAAAUGUGUAAGUAACUAUGCACGUCUUGACGGUACCUACUCAGAAAGCCACGGCUAACUACGUG